rnacentral:rRNA from 1 species
UAAAGCGUGCGCAGGCGGUUUUGUAAGACUGUCGUGAAAUCCCCGGGCUCAACCUGGGAAUGGCGAUGGUGACUGCAAGGCUAGAGUUUGGCAGAGGGGGGUAGAAUUCCACGUGUAGCAGUGAAAUGCGUAGAUAUGUGGAGGAACACCGAUGGCGAAGGCAGCCCCCUGGGUCAAAACUGACGCUCAUGCACGAAAGCGUGGGGAGCAAACAGGAUUAGAUACCCAGU